AUGACUACAGCUUCAUCAACCACACCUACACCAACAAACAUUCCAACAGCAUCAACAGUUGUACCUUCAGUAUCCACUACUUUCACUUCAACAACAGUGCCUACAUCUUCAGAAACAAGUGCAACUGUAACAACUUCAGCAACUAAAGCAUCCUCAACUGCUGAAAUUCCCACCACCACAGUUAUGAGUACAGAAACCACACCUAUUCCUUCAACAGUGUUGCCCACAACUUCGAAGAGUACAACAGCUGAAACCAUGACUACAGCUUCAUCAGCGAUAUCUACGACAACAAAUAAUCCAACAUCAAAAGCUGUAACUUCAGCAUCCACAGCUCUCACUUCAACAACAUUGCCUACAUCUUCAGAAACAACUGCACCUGUAACAACUUCAGUAACUAAAGCAUCCUCAACUAUCAAAAUUUCCACAACCACAGCUGUGAGUACAGAAACCACACCUAUUACUUCAACAGUGUUGCCCACAACUUUGAAGAGUACAACAGCUGAAACCAUGACUACAGCUUCAUCAACCACACCUACAAAAACGAACAAUCCAACAACAUCAACAUUUGUAACUUCUGAAUCUACAACUCCUACUUCAACAGUUAUAGCUACAUCUUCAGAAACAACUACACCUCUAACAAAAUCAGUAACUACAGCAUCCUCAACUACUGAAAUUCCCACAACCACAGUUGUGAGUACUGAAUCCAUAACUCUUACUUCAACAGCUAAGCCUACAUCUUCAGAAUCUACUGCAACUGUAACAUCAGUAACUACAGUAUCCUCAAAAACCUAUAUUCCCACAACCACGGUUGUGAGAACAGAAACCACACCUAUCAUUUCGACAGUGGUGCCUACAACUUCAGAGAGUACAACGGCAGAAGCUAUGACUACGGCUUCAUCAACUAUAUUUACAGCAAAGAACACUCCAACAACAUCAACAGCUGUAACUUCAGAAUCCUCAACUCUCACUUCAACAACAGUGCCUACAUCUUCAGAAACAACUGCACCUGUAACAACAUCAGUAACUACAGCUUCCUCACCUACAACUGUACCUUCCUCUAUGACAUCAGCUCCAAUGUCAUCUGAAGCUCCAAGUACAACAACAUCUAAAACCACAUUGCUGCUUGCAACCACAUCUACUGGAGCUCUCACAUCCACUGUUGUGACUUCAGGAGCAACAACUCUUACGUCUACAACAAUGCCUACAACAUCAGAAAGUACAACUACACCUGCAGCAAGCACAACUGCAGCUUCCACAGCCACAGUGGGGCCAUCCACUACUGUGACUACAGCUUCCGAAAUUACAACUGCAUCUUCAACAUCUACAGCUUCCUCAGCUGCGAUAGUGCAUUCUACUACUACAUCAUCAUCUCCAACCUCAUCUGAAUCUCGAGGUACAGCAACUAAUUAUCCAACAACAUCAACAGCUGUAAUUUCAACAACAAUGGCUACAUCUUCAGAAACAUCUGCACCUGUAACAACAUCAGUAACUACAGCUUCCUCAUCUAUAAAUGUACCUUCCUCUAUGACAUCAGCUCCAAUGUCAUCUGAAGCUCCAAGUGCAACAACAGCUCAAACCACAAUGCCACUUGCACCUGCAACUACUGAAACACUCACAAUCACCAAAAUGACUUCAGAAACCACAACUGCACCAACAACAUCGAUAACUACAACGUCCACAACUACCACUGUAGCUUCAACGACAACAGCAGCUUCUCUUGCAACAACCACAACUACAGCUUCCAUCACCACAACCAUUCCUUCCACUUCUACAUCAGAUCAAACCACACCUAAGGCUGCAAGUACAACAUCAAAAGGUCCGAACACAAAUUCAGAAAGUAUAACUUCACCUGCUGUAACCACAGAUUCCACAACCAUGAUGGAAUAUUCAACUACUACAUCAAGUUUAACCCCAGCCACAACUACUGAAACCUCAACUCUUACUUCACCAACAAUGUCUACAACUUCAGAAAGUACUCCUGCACCUGCAACAUCCACCAUUACAGCUUCCUCUUCUACGAAUAACUAUCCCACAACAGAAAAUCCAUCUCAAACCUCAACUUCAAUUCCAGGCACAAACACACCUACAGCGGCAACAACAACUGCAUUCCGAAUAACAACUGCACCUCUAUCAACCACAACUAUUGCUUUCACUAAUACAGCUCCAGCUCUAAGCCAAGCAGGACUCCUUACCACAACAAAUGCACCUCCAAUUAUCACAACUGUGUCUCCGGAGACUGUAACUAUUGCUGUAACAAUUAUGCCUAUCUCAUCAUCACAUGUAACUAUAUCCCCAACUUUAACUCCAAUAAAAACAACUGAACCUCCAAGAACCCCAACUACACCCAUUACAACCAUGACUGUUCUUCCCACCACUACAGUUCCAGCUGAUAUCUCAACUACAGCUCCAACCACAACAACAGCCACUAUUCCAAGUUCAACUGCAGCUCAAACAACAACUGCAUUUCAAGUAACAACAGGAGAUCUUUUAAGAACAACUGUAGCUUUUACCAACACAUCUUCUGCUCCAGCCACACUUGCACUUUCAACCAAAACAACUCCAAUCCCAAACAUGGAUUCAGAAACUACAACUGCAUCAACAACUACAACUGGAAUUAAUACAGGUCUCACCAGUGCAGCAGAAUUUCCAAUAGCUCCAAUAACAUCAGUUUCAAACACAAAUGCAUCAACAUCCCCAGCAUCUACAAUUCCAAGUCAAUCAUCAAUCAAAACAACACCAGCUGAAACUCUUUCUAGCAAUACUACACCUCUAAACAAUGCAACAAAAGCAGAUGCAUCUGCAACACUUCAAAGUACUUCAAGUUUGCAACCAGAAACUUCAAACAUACCCAAAACAUUGUCAACAAAUGUGACUGGUGCAGCAACAGUCACAACCAUAUUGGUAUUCUCAUCCUUGUCGUCAGUGCCCAAUGAAAAUUUGGUCCUAGGUGCUAUCAGUACUCUUCUGGAAUCUAGACAGUCCCAACUCAAUGGAUCACUGAAGAUUGUAAAAUUUACUUAUCAGAAAAUCUCAGAAACCUCCUAUGUCGUCAUCUUUGACUUUAGUCUGAGUAAUAUCAGCAUGCCAGAGGAACCUGAUCUAAGAAACAACAGUUAUGUUCAAGUACAAGAUGUCAUCAAUAAUGCGCUGAACACUCUUCUGAAUGAACCUGGCAGUCUAACUUUACAACCCAAGACCUCCAACUUCACGAGCAAUUCAAGUCUGAUUGAUGGCAGGAUGGAAUACAACUUCCAGGAUGGAGAUGUCAUACAACCAGUCAGCUUCCUAAAUAUGCUACAUUUACAGACCACUACAACAUUGUUUCCGGAAACAACAUUUUUUUUCUCUGUAACUCCUUCCAAACUCAUAUCUGGUUCAGCAGUGGUCACAAGCAAGCUGGUGUUCAACACCUCAUCUCCAGUUCCCAGUGAAUCUCUGGUCCUCAGUGCAAUCAAAACUCUGCGUAAUUCCAGAGAGUCACAGCUCAAUGAAUCGGUGAAGGUGGUGAAUGUCACCUAUGAGAAAAUCUCAGAAACCUCCUAUGCUGUGGUCUUUACAUUUAACGUGAUUAACAUCACCAUGCCAGAGGAACCUAAGUCUAGAGGCAACACCAACCAGAAAGUGCAGGAUACCAUCAAUAAUGCGCUGAAUACUCUUCUGAAUGAACCUGGAAGUCCAACUUUACAACCAAAGUCCUCCAACUUCACAAGCACUUCAAACCAGAUUGAUGGCAGGAUGGAAUACAGCUUCCAGGAUGGAGAUGUCAUACAACCAGUCAGCUUCCUCAAUGAGCUACGUCUACCAACCACUACAACAGUGUUUCCAGAAACAACAACCAGUGUUUCUGUUACUACUUCAAACCUCAUAUCUGGUUCAGCAGUGGUCACAAGCAAGCUGGUUUUCAACUCCUCAUCUCCAGUCCCCAGUGAAUCUCUGGUCCUCAAUGCAAUCAAAACUCUGCGUAAUUCCAGAGAGUCACAGCUCAAUGAAUCGGUGAAGGUGGUGAAUGUCACCUAUGAGAAAAUGUCAGAAACCUCCUAUGCUGUGGUCUUUACAUUUAACGUAAUUAACAUCAGCAUGCCAAAGGAACCUGUGUCUAGAGGCAACACCAACCAGAAAGUGCAGGAUACCAUCAAUAAAGCGCUGAAUACUCUUCUGAAUGAACCUGGAAGUCCAACUUUUCAACCAAAGUCAUCAAACUUCACAAGCACUUCAAACCAGAUUGAUGGCAGAAUGGAAUACACCUUCCAGGAUGGAGAUGUCAUACAACCAGUCAGCUUCCUCAAUGAGCUUCGUUCACAGACAGUCUUAACGACAGCCAGCACUCUGACAACUACUCCACUGAUAGUGCGUGGCAAAGCGCUUAUAUUCAUUCGCCUCGUGUUUGUCACACUGGGCCCCCUGCCAAAUCCAGAGAAGGUUCUUGAGGUGGCCAACACUCUGCUUCAGACGCGUCUCAAAACUAAACAAGACACCAGUACUCAAGACCUGAGUGAUCCUGUGAGCUUUGUCAAUGUCACAUAUACAAAAAUAAAUGAGACGGCCUAUGCUCUCAACUUUGGAUUUGAAAUCAGCAAUAUAACCAUGACAGAGAAGCUUGAACUCAGGAAUGGCACCCACCUGUUAAUACAAGACUCUAUAAACUCAUUGCUGGGCAAGAUCCUUCUCAGUAACUCAUCAGCGCCUAUCAUUAAGUUCCAACCAGCUGAUUUCACGGGUAAUUCCACAGUAAUUAAGGCCAAUGUAGAGUAUGUUUUCUCACCAAGUGACAUCACGCAACCCAGCAUCUUUGUUCAGGAACUUCUCCAACUUAAUGAAGCGAGCACUCUGACAAGCACAACUUCACCACCGAUCUUGACUAGGAGGGCAAUUAUUAAGAUUCGUCUGGAGUUUAUCACACUGGGCCCAAGACCAAGUGAGAGUAAUGUUCUACAGGUGGUUAAAUCUAUGCUGGCCACAAAUCUCACAACUAAACUAACCACGAGAGUAACAAGCGUGAGCGAACCUGUGACCUUGAAUAAUGUUGUGUAUAUCGGAAUUAAUGACACCGCCUACGCACUGAUUUUUGCAUUCGAAAUGAACAAAGUAUUACUGACAGAGAUACAAAGGCAAGAAGCCUACAAAGAAAUCCAAAACAAGAUAAAUGAUUUGGUGAAGCAGAUACUAAAGGACCCCUCGGUUAAUCUGCUCAUUCCAGCCGAUUUCAAGGAUGAUCUCCUUGUGAUCGAGGCCAAUGUUACGUAUGUUUUCUCAGAACGUAACAGUAACACGGGCUCCGGUUUCUUGGUCAGUGCCCUUUUCAAGGCUUUUACCACACCAGCUCCAACCACCAUGAACACUACAAUCUCAAACAACAGUACUAAUGCAGCAUGGAUUGUGGCUAUCAUUGUCCCCUGUGCUAUUGUCAUCGGGCUCGUACCUUGCUGGAUUCUCCUUUGCUGUUUGCUGUGUGGUUGCUGUGCAGCAAUCAGAAGACGCUGGCACAGAAGACAGUCGUACAAUGUGCAGUACACCACUCGAAACAGUCUCUUCUAAAGAGUUCUGAGAUAUUUGACAAAAGCAGGACUGAAAACCAAUGAGAACAUAAAAAUCAUGGAUUUUGGAUAUUCAAUAUGCUAUCAAUACUGCUUCUUUUGUAGUAUUGAAAGUACUAUGUUAAUGCUUCUUUAUAAACUAUUUAUUUUAUUAUCCUAGACAAACAGGUCCUCCAUAAAAUAUUCCUUAAUGUGACAUUUUAAUACGUCCUAUAGUCUAUAAUGAAAUUGUAUUAUUGUUAUUUAUUUGUAUUUAUUUGUAAUAUUCUGUUUAUGUUUACAGUUAAUCUUUUGCAAAUCAUUAAUCUGCUUGACAUUACACAUUUUAAU
ensembl:lncRNA